rnacentral:rRNA from 1 species
GAUGAACGCUGGCGGCGUGCCUAAUACAUGCAAGUCGAACGAAACUUCUUUAUCACCGAGUGCUUCCACUCACCGAUAAAGAUUUGAGUGGCGAACGUGUGAUUCACACGUCUUCAACCUGCCUUAAAGAAGGUGAGAACACUUGGAAACAGGUGCUAAUACCGCAUAACCAUAGUUACCGCGUGGUAACUAUGUAGAAUGUGGCUAUACUACCGCUUUUGGAUGGGCCGGGGGCGCAUUAGCUAGUUGGUCGGGUAAAGGCUUACCAAGGCAAUGAUGCGUAGACGAAUUGAGAGGUUGGUAGCCGACCUUGGAACUGAGCCACGGACCAAAGUACUACGGGAGGCAGCAGUCGGGAACCUGACGCAAUGGGCGAAAGCAUGAUGCAGCAACGCCGAGUGGGUGAAGAAGGUCUUGGGAUCGUAAAACCCUGUUGUUAGAGAAGAACGUGCGUGAGCGUAGAUGUUCACGUUUUGACGGUAUCUAAUAAGAAAGCAACGGCUAACUACGUG